GUGGGGCGGGGUAACAAAACACGACGGCUCGCCAGCACAAGCAACAUACAUUACUCGAACCAAAUGACGCGUCUCUGCCUACCCACAUUCACUCACUCUCUCAAAGUCUUUAAAAAAAAUGAGACCUACCCGAAAAAUACUAAAUAGGCAUACAAUUGGGACCGACAUACAGACGGGGAUAAUAGUAACGUAAUAGACAAAGGUUCAUACGUUCAAUAUUCCUCAUCGGUGAAAAUAAUAGAAUGUAAUUAACUUGAAGAUAAAAACACCAAAUCAAAACAUUAAUCGUCAAUUUAACACUAAGAUACAUUCACUUUAAGCAUUCUCACACCAGUUAAGUGAUUAAAUUAAGUUAGAUAAGUGUUAGAAGAUUUAUGUACCUUAAUUUUAUCUCCUGGUGUAAAAGUGAAUGUUACAGUAUCUAGUUAAGCUUGGAGUCUCAGUUUGAUCUUGGUGUUUUGUGGUAUAAUUGGGUUAUUAUCUUUGUGAUUUGUGGUAUAAUUCUGUUAUUUUUCUAAUUUGUGGCAUAAUUCUGAUGUUAUUUCUUUGUGUGUCAUUAAUGUGCCUUUGUGUCAAUUUCAUGUUAUCUUGUCCGUGUCAUAAUUGUGUUGCGCCAAUUGGUUUUGUUCUUGUUAUAAUUAUCUUGUUCAUACUUAACUAAUUAGGUUUUCUUUUUACGUCUUCCCAACUCACAAAGGAAUAUUGAUCGUGUGAACCUUAGUAAGUCAGGAGCUGGUAAGUGUUCAGCUGGACGAAUGCCAAAUUGGUGCCUGUGACGUCAAUGACACCUCCAUGACGCCAUAGAACAAUUGAAGUCGCCUCGAUGACGUCAUAACAAGUGGUAGAGACCUUGGUGACGUCAUAGCAGGUGGUAAAGACCUCGAUGACGUCAUAACAAGUGGUAAAGACCUCGAUGACGUCAUAGCUAGUGAUAGAUAUCUCGAUAAUAUUAUGGAGGGAAGGAAGGAAAAAGAGGGAGGGAGGGAAUAGGAAGAACAAGAGAAAAGGAGGAAGGAAAGAAUAAGAGGUAGAGAAGAAGGAAAUAAGAGGGGAUAGCGAGAAGAGAGGAGAAAAGAGAGAGAAAGAGAGAGAAGAAAUAAACACAACAUAAUCAGAGAGACAUCUGACUUUUUACCGCAGAGUAGUGUCUUAGGGCGGCCAUCUUUGAAAUCAUAACCCCUGGUGGAGCUCGUAACUUAAAUAAGUUGAGAAAAUUAACUUGCGAACCUUUGAGAAUCCCUCUUUGACUUACGAACUU